UACGUAGGGGGCAAGAGUUAUCCGGAUUUACUGGGUGUAAAGGGGGCGCAGACGGCGAUGCAAGCCAGGAGUGAAAGCCCGGGGCCCAACCCCGGGACUGCUCUUGGAACUGCGUGGCUGGAGUGCAGGAGGGGCAGGCGGAAUUCCUGGUGUAGCGGUGAAAUGCGUAGAUAUCAGGAGGAACACCGGUGGCGAAGGCGGCCUGCUGGACUGCAACUGACGUUGAGGCCCGAAAGCGUGGGGAGCAAACAGG
rnacentral:rRNA from 1 species